AUGGAAGUGCAGGACUCCAAGAUUUACUUCUUUCCCUUUCCAGCAGAGUUACCUGAGAGGAGUAAAAUCUGCUGGCGGAGUCACUCCAUUAUUCUUAUCUGUGGAGAUCUAGAUCUUGAUUUGAAAGUUUCUGAGAAAAUCUUCAGCUCAGACUUGAGGUCAACUUUACCAACUGAAGGAGCCGUGGAGUCCAAGUGUGACUGCCAAGAGGAAUCCAGCAAAGCCAAAGAGCCCGAGCAUGUAGCCCUGCCCGAAGCCUGCCACACGCAUGGAAAACCCAGAGGAAAUGAGUGA
rnacentral:lncRNA from 10 species